GACGAACGCUGGCGGCGUGCUUAACACAUGCAAGUCGAACGGAAAGGCCCUGCUUUUGUGGGGUGCUCGAGUGGCGAACGGGUGAGUAACACGUGAGUAACCUGCCCUUGACUUUGGGAUAACUUCAGGAAACUGGGGCUAAUACCGGAUAGGAGCUCCUGCUGCAUGGUGGGGGUUGGAAAGUUUCGGCGGUUGGGGCUGGUCUCGCGGCUUAUCAGCUUGUUGGUGGGGUAGUGGCUUACCAAGGGUUUGACGGGUAGCCGGCCUGAGAGGGGGACCGGGCACAAUGGGACUGAGAGAGGGACCAGUCGGCAAUCGGAGGCAACAGGGGGAAAUAUGACGCAGUGGGCGGGAGCCAGAUGCAACAACCCCGCGAUCGGGAUGACGGGCUUCUGGGGGUGAACCGCUUUGGACUGUGACGAAGCGGGAGUGACGGUAAUGAGUAAAGAAGCACCGGCUAACUACGUG
rnacentral:rRNA from 1 species